GUAUACAUUGACGACUAUCAUUAUUAUUUAUUGAUCUUUUAUUUAUUUUUAACUUUGUAUAUUAUAAACUAAACAUUAUAUGUACAUGAAGUAUUCGUAAAAAUAUUUUUUUAAAUUAAAUAUAGUGUUUUAAUGUCUAUUAGCAGAGAUAAACCGUCAACUGCAAUGACAUUGGAUCAAAUUUUGAAGACUGCAUUAAUAGUUAAUCGACCAUCACCAAAGUUGCACAAAGAACUAAUGAGUGAAAUAAUUAAGGGUGUGUGUCUAAAAAAGACGGUUCGGCUUGCUCCAAAAAAGCAAGACGUUUCCAACGAAUUAUCGAUGAUUUUGAGAAGACGUAUAGCAUUUGAAUUAUCGAGUUCAAGUAACGAAAGUUUAUGCAACAGUCAAUCAGAUGAUUGGAAUAUACAUUAUGAUAAUUGAUUGUUUUUAAUUCCGUUUUAUUUGUAUAAAAUAAGUAUUUUUUUUAAA